rnacentral:rRNA from 1 species
AACGUCCGUCGUGAAGAGGGAAACAACCCAGACCGCCAGCUAAGGUCCCAAAGUCAUGGUUAAGUGGGAAACGAUGUGGGAAGGCCCAGACAGCCAGGAUGUUGGCUUAGAAGCAGCCAUCAUUUAAAGAAAGCGUAAUAGCUCACUGGUCGAGUCGGCCUGCGCGGAAGAUGUAACGGGGCUAAACCAUGCACCGAAGCUGCGGCAGCGACGCUUAUGCGUUGUUGGGUA